UGACUCUGGUUUCUUUCAUUACGCACAAGCCUUUCGCCUUUUACUAAAGACUUCCGUGGAGAGGAACACUUUUUUCAACGUAUUUUGGAGCGGCUUUGCUUCUUGGUCAGAGCC